UACGUAGGGGGCAAGCGUUGUCCGGAAUUAUUGGGCGUAAAGCGCGCGCAGGCGGUCGUUUAAGUCUGGUGUUUAAGCCCGGGGCUCAACCCCGGUACGCACUGGAAACUGGGCGACUGGAGUGCAGAAGAGGAGAGUGGAAUUCCACGUGUAGCGGUGAAAUGCGUAGAUAUGUGGAGGAACACCAGUGGCGAAGGCGACUCUCUGGUCUGUCACUGACGCUGAGGCGCGAAAGCGUGGGGAGCAAACAGG
rnacentral:rRNA from 1 species